UACGGAGGGUGCAAGCGUUAUCCGGAUUCACUGGGUUUAAAGGGUGCGUAGGCGGAUAUGUAAGUCCGUGGUGAAAUCUCUGGGCUUAACCCGGAAACUGCCAUGGAUACUAUGUGUCUUGAAUGUUGUUGAGGUGAGCGGAAUAUGUCAUGUAGCGGUGAAAUGCUUAGAUAUGACAUAGAACACCAAUUGCGAAGGCAGCUCACUAAGCAAAUAUUGACACUGAGGCACGAAAGCGUGGGGAUCAAACAGG
rnacentral:rRNA from 1 species